rnacentral:rRNA from 1 species
AUUGAACGCUGGCGGCAUGCCUUACACAUGCCAGUCGAACGGCAGCACGGGUGCUUGCACCUGGUGGCGAGUGGCGAACGGGUGAGUAAUACAUCGGAACGUACCUUAUCGUGGGGGAUAACGCAGCGAAAGUUGCGCUAAUACCGCAUACGCCCUGAGGGGGAAAGCGGGGGACCGUAAGGCCUCGCGCGAUUAGAGCGGCCGAUGUCUGAUUAGCUUGUUGGUGAGGUAAAAGCUCACCAAGGCGAUGAUCAGUAGCUGGUCUGAGAGGACGAUCAGCCACACUGGGACUGAGACACGGCCCAGACUCCUACGGGAGGCAGCAGUGGGGAAUUUGGGACAAUGGGGGCAACCCUGAUCCAGCAAUGCCGCGUGAGUGAAGAAGGCCUUCGGGUUGUAAAGCUCUUUUGUCAGGGAAGAAACAGCAGCUCUAACACAGUCUGGGAAUGACGGUACCUGAAGAAUAAGCACCGGCUAACUACGUG